rnacentral:tRNA from 1 species
GGAGGCGUUCCUCGUCUGGUGACGGGCGCGGUCUUCAACACCGACGUGACCGGGACACCCGGUCAGGCGGGUUCGAUUCCCGUCCGCCUCCGCCA